ACCUCUCCGGUGGCCUAGUGGUUAGAGCGAACGCCAUGAAUGCGAGAGGUUGCGGGUUCGAACCCCAUGCGAGUCA